rnacentral:lncRNA from 1 species
CAGAGAUCCUGUCCAAGCCAAUUUCUCCUUGAAAAGCAAGAAAUCUCUCAAAGCAAAAGCAAUUGCGGUCCCUAACUCCUGGAGGAAGACUUACAUUAUUGCUACACCUAAGUGCCUGCUCUGCUCAUGGACUGCCCUCCCAUAUGAUGCUUUUACCUUUCAGGAAUUGGAAGUGCAGCUCCGGAUUGGAAACUCAGCUGGUGCCGCUCCUGUUUCGUGCUAAGGGAAGGAGGCAGCGUUGCUAUUUCUCUCUGUCAGAGAACUCUGCACCCUGGGAGGAAAUUCAGAGAAGUCUUGCAGUGAGUCACACCGUGCUCAGGAGCAGGUCUUCCAGCUCAUCAGCGAGAUUCCUUCAAGGUCGCCACCUCUGCCCUCACAAGCUGGAGCCCUGCGCCCGCCUGAUCCAGGAGGUGGGAGAAGUGAAGCAGGCGCGGAGGCUGAAGCGGUGGCCGAAGGAGGGUCAUCCGUGGAGCACGGGGACCUGCAGCACCGGCAGGAGACACUGUGCCCCACGCCACCAUGGGUGCCGCGGCUGGGUCGUUAGGGUGGGCGUUUGGUUUUGGCUUGUUUGGGUUUUUUUUCCCCCCCCCCAUCCCUGUCCAGAUCAGAUACCUCCUCGAGGUGGCUGGGACGCAUCGUGGCUCAUCCCCAAGCAGAGGGCUGUGACAGCUCACCGCUGCCUGGAGCUGCCGGCCGUUGGGACCAUGCUGCCGAUCUGCUGCAGACCGUGCAGCAGCACGCACAGGCCAGCUGCGCAAACGAAGCAGACUUAUAAUGACUGGUAAUGAACGUUUCGGUAAAACGAUGGGGCAAACCUUAAGGACAUUUCAGACCUUUCCCCUCAGGAGACAGCAAACAAGUUGUUCGCUUGGGCAACAGUAGACACUGCGUUGGCCUGGCCAAACAAAUGGCUGAAGCCUUUGCAGUCCUCCUCCACUCGCCCCGUGCUCUGCGGUGAGGCUGGCACGUCUCAGGGCGGCCGACGUGCUCCCGGGUAGCAGAUGGACCUUGGUGCACAGCAGCGUGGGCUUCACGGUGAGGUGGCUCUGCUGCAAGGCCCUGCCUGCCAGUGUCACCCCAAGUCCACAUCCAGCCCUCGAGUGCCAGGUGGGAUUUGUCACCUUCUUCUUGAGCUGCACUGCUUCUCCCACAACCUGAGCGCUACCACGACUUUGGGCUGGUGUCUGGCAGGGUUUUUUGCCCCUGAGUUGCAGUGAGGUGGUCUUGCCCGCCAUGGAGGAGGA